GUCCAGACUCCUACGGGAGGCAGCAGUGGGGAAUAUUGCACAAUGGGGGGAACCCUGAUGCAGCGACGCCGCGUGGGUGAAGGAGCACCUCGGUGCGUAAAGCCCUAUCGGCAGGGAAAAAAAGCGAACAGGUUCGCCUGGACGGUACCUGACUAAGAAGCCCCGGCUAACUACGUGCCAGCAGCCGCGGGAAUACGUAUGGUGCAAGCGUUAUCCGGAUUUACUGGGUGUAAAGGGAGCGUAGGCGGCGCGUUAAGUCUGAUGUGAAAACCCGAGGCUCAACCACGGGAGUGCAUUGGAAACUGGCGGGCUGGAGUGCCGGAGAGGUAAGCGGAAUUCCUAGUGUAGCGGUGAAAUGCGUAGAUAUCAGGAGGAACACCGGCGGCGAAGGCGGCCUGCUGGACCGUGACUGACGUUGAGGCUCGAGAGCGUGGGGAGCAAACAGGAUUAGAUACCCUCGUA
rnacentral:rRNA from 1 species